AUUGAACGCUGGCGGCAGGCUUAACACAUGCAAGUCGAACGAGUGGCGGACGGGUGCGUAAUGCUUGGGAAUCUAGCUUAUGGAGGGGGAUAACUACGGGCAACUGUAGCUAAUACCGCGUACCAUAGGAUGACCCCAAGUGGGAUUAGGUAGUUGGGGAGGUAAAGGUUCACCAAGCCGACUAUCUAUAGCUGGUCUGAGAGGAUGACCGGCCACACGGGGACUGAGACACGGCCCAGACUCCUACGGGAGGCAGCAGUGGGGAAUAUUGCGCAAUGGGGGCAACCUGACGCAGCCAUGCCGCGUGAAUGAAGAAGGCCUUCGGGUUGUAAAGUUCUUUCGGUAGCGAGGCGUUAACUACAGAAGAAGCAUCGGCUAACUCCGUGCCAGCCGCCGCGGUAAUUC
rnacentral:rRNA from 1 species